rnacentral:rRNA from 1 species
AUUGAACGCUGGCGGCAUGCCUUACACAUGCAAGUCGAACGGUAACGCGGGGCAACCUGGCGACGAGUGGCGAACGGGUGAGUAAUAUAUCGGAACGUGCCCAGUUGUGGGGGAUAACUGCUCGAAAGAGCAGCUAAUACCGCAUACGACCUGAGGGUGAAAGCGGGGGAUCGCAAGACCUCGCGCAAUUGGAGCGGCCGAUAUCAGAGUAGGUAGUUGGUGGGGUAAAGGCUCACCAAGCCAACGAUCUGUAGCUGGUCUGAGAGGACGACCAGCCACACUGGGACUGAGACACGGCCCAGACUCCUACGGGAGGCAGCAGUGGGGAAUUUUGGACAAUGGACGCAAGUCUGAUCCAGCCAUGCCGCGUGCGGGAAGAAGGCCUUCGGGUUGUAAACCGCUUUUGUCAGGGAAGAAACGCUCUGGGUUAAUACCUCGGGGUAAUGACGGUACCUGAAGAAUAAGCACCGGCUAACUACGUGCCAGCCGCCGCCGUAACAC